AAGGCCCUAGCUCAGUGAUAGAGCACCUGCUUUGCAUGCAGAAGGUCCCAGGUUCAAUCCCCAGUGGCAUCU